rnacentral:lncRNA from 1 species
UUUUAUAAAAAUUUUUAAUUUAUCAGAUAAUUAUUUUAAAAUUUUAUUUGAACAACUAAUUAAAAAAAUACGGUGAAUCAUUUACUAGAAAUGAUUCUAUUUCUUUCUUUUAAAAAAAUAAUAAAUAAAAGAAUAACGAAAGUCGAUGAAUUAUUUAUUGUCUUUUAAAUUGUAUUGAGUUGGAUAAAUAAAAUUGGGUUAAUUGCAUACAUGUCCUUGCAAAUAUGGUGAAUUAUAAAUAUAUUCCUGUAAAACUCAACUUUCAUAAAUUAUUUCUGAAAAAGUUCUAAUAUAUUCAGAUAUAUUCCUGCCGUUAGGGUCCGUUAGAGCAAUUUCGUUAACCACAGUUAAAAUACUUAAUCAUGGUUAAUUAAUAAUGUGAAUUGACAAUUUAACUCUUUUUCUUCUUCCUCUUCCUCUCCUGCUUCUUCUUCUUCCUUUUUUUCUCCAUAUCCUCCUUUUCCUCCUCCUUUUCUCCUCCUUCUUCUUCUUCUUCUUCCUUAUUGUUAUCGUCGAUGAUCCGAUCGUCGUUGCCGUCGUGGUGCCUGCGUGGGCCGUCGUCACGGGCGCCUCCAACGGCAUUGGCCGUGCCUUCGCCUUCCGCCUCUUCAUCGUCCUCGUUAGUCGCAACCCCGAUGUUACGUACCUGACUCUACGCAACCCGUCAAUGAUAAUAAUUCGCUGAGACGAGGACGGCGUGAAGGAUGAUGGUCUAAUCAAAUCGGUAUCUCGACGAUUACCUGCCCAAAUACUCGUAGCUAGAUCAAGGAUAAGAGGGAGAGGAUGGGAUUGAGCAAGAAAGAAAGAUGAAGAGAGAGAUAGAUAGAUGAAGAUAUGGAGGCGAGAAGAGAGGAAGGAAGAAAAUGAUAAGAAAAAGCAGAGACUUAACAAUUUUC